rnacentral:rRNA from 1 species
GAUAUUCCUGUACCGCCUCUUCACCGUUUGAACGAUGGGGGGACGCAGGAGGAUAGGGCGAGCGCGACACUGGUUGAUCGCGUCCAAGCAGUUAGGCCGGUGCGGAGGCAAAUCCUUCGCGCCAAGGCGGAGCUGUGAUGGCGAGGGAAAUUUGAGUACCGAAGUUCCUGAUUCCACACUGCCAAGAAAAGCCUCUAGUGAGGUGAAAGGCGC